UAGGGAAUCUUCGGCAAUGGGGGCAACCCUGACCGAGCAACGCCGCGUGAGUGAAGAAGGUUUUCGGAUCGUAAAGCUCUGCUGUAAGUCAAGAACGAGUGUGAGAGUGGAAAGUUCACACUGUGACGGUAGCUUACCAGAAAGGGACGGCUAACUACGUGCCAGCAGCCGCGGUAAUACGUAGGUCCCGAGCGUUGUCCGGAUUUAUUGGGCGUAAAGCGAGCGCAGGCGGUUUGAUAAGUCUGAAGUUAAAGGCUGUGGCUCAACCAUAGUUCGCUUUGGAAACUGUCAAACUUGAGUGCAGAAGGGGAGAGUGGAAUUCCAUGUGUAGCGGUGAAAUGCGUAGAUAUAUGGAGGAACACCGGUGGCGAAAGCGGCUCUCUGGUCUGUAACUGACGCUGAGGCUCGAAAGCGUGGGGAGCGAACAGGAUUAGAUACCCUGGUAGUCCACGCCGUAAACGAUGAGUGCUAGGUGUUGGAUCCUUUCCGGGAUUCAGUGCCGCAGCUAACGCAUUAAGCACUCCGCCUGGGGAGUACGACCGCAAGGUUG
rnacentral:rRNA from 1 species